AGCGAACGCUGGCGGCGUGCUUAACACAUGCAAGUCGAGCGAGAAAGUCCCGCAAGGGAUGAGUACAGCGGCGAACGGGUGCGUAAUACGCGGGCGAUCUGUCCUUGAGGUGGGAAUAACCCAGCGAAAGUUGGGCUAAUACCGGAUAAGACCACGGGAGGAAACUUCUGAGGUCAAAGGCAGCCUUCUUUUGGAGGCAGUCCUUCGAGGAGGAGCCCACGUCCUAUCAGCUAGNGG
rnacentral:rRNA from 1 species